rnacentral:rRNA from 1 species
AUUGAACGCUGGCGGCAGGCCUAACACAUGCAAGUCGAACGAGUGGCGGACGGGUGAGUAAUGUCUGUGAAACUGUGUGAUGGAGGGGGAUAACUACUGGAAACGGUAGCUAAUACCGCAUACCAUCUGAUGUGCCCAGAUGGGAUUAGCUAGUAGGUGGGGUAAAGGCUCACCUAGGCGACGCUAUCUAGAUGGUCUGAGAGGAUGACCAGCCACACUGAGACUGAGAAACGGACCAGACUCCUACGGGAGGCAUCAGUGGAGAAUAUUGCACAAUGGGCGCAAGCCUGAUGCAGCCAUGCCGCGUGUAUGAAGAAGGCCUUCGGGUUGUAAAGUACUUUCAGCGGGGAGGCGUUACCCGCAGAAGAAGCACCGGCUAACUCCGUGCCAGCAGCCGCGGUAAUAC